AUUGAACGCUGGCGGCAGGCCUAACACAUGCAAGUCGAGCGAGCGGCGGACGGGUGAGUAAUGUAUGGGGACUGCCCGAUAGAGGGGGAUAACUACUGGAAACGGUGGCUAAUACAGCAUACUAUCGGAUAACCCAUAUGGGAUUAGCUAGUAGGUGGGGUAAAGGCGAACCUAGGCGACGAUCUCUAGCUGGUCUGAGAGGAUGAUCAGCACCACUGGGAAUGGGACACGGCCCAGACUCCUACGGAGGCAUCGGAGGGGAAUAUUGCACAAUGGCCGAAAGCCUGAUGCAGCCAUGCGGCGUGUAUGAAGAAGGCCUUAGGGUUGUAAAGUACGUUCAGCGGGGAGGCGUUACCCGCAGAAGAAGCACCGGCUAACUCCGUGCCAGCCGCCGCGGUAAUUC
rnacentral:rRNA from 1 species